rnacentral:rRNA from 1 species
CAGUCGCCACGGGAAUACGUAGGGUGCAAGCGUUAAUCGGAAUUACUGGGCGUAAAGCGCGCGUAGGCGGUUACUCAAGUCAGAGGUGAAAGCCCGGGGCUCAACCCCGGAACUGCCUUUGAAACUAGGUGACUAGAAUCUUGGAGAGGUCAGUGGAAUUCCGAGUGUAGAGGUGAAAUUCGUAGAUAUUCGGAAGAACACCAGUGGCGAAGGCGACUGACUGGACAAGUAUUGACGCUGAGGUGCGAAAGCGUGGGGAGCAAACAGGAUUAGAUACCCCCGUAGUCCCUGUCUCUUAUAC